rnacentral:lncRNA from 1 species
UCGAUCUUAUUAACAUAAGGAAAAAAAAUUACUGUAAAACAGUAAUGAACCAAACGUUAGAUACAAAAUUGAAUUAACAUAGAGAUAAUUAACAACAACUGAUACAUAAAAAAUAUGUCAUACCUUUUCUUGUACGAUUUUUUGGCAAAGAAAUAGUAAUGAGCCUCAAUUUUUUUUGGGUUUCGUCGAUUUCCAGUUCUUCGGCAAUUGUCGGAAUCAGUUUUUCGUAAGUUACAUGUUCAUUGAUCACGAUUUCAUCGCUCUUACAGCCAACAUAGUUUAUUUCGUUAACCCAAAUACCAGAAUGACGUAACAACA